UUUAAAUAAAAACAAUAUUAUUUAUAAUUUAUAUUAAAAUGAAUAAGGUUGACAAAUAUCAAAGGAGGACUGUAGGGAAGGCAGCUGAGCAAAAAUGGGGUCAGCAGAAAAAAGAAAAAACAGGCAGUACUUGUGUAAUGUGUUGUGUGGUUUUUGAAUGGAUAAGCAUAUGACAAUAUUUUCAAACAUUUUUGGAUAAAAUAUCAAUAAUCUUAUCUGGUUAGGUUUGCACAGUAAAGGUCCCCUACUUCGCAGGUUCAAAAUUUUAAAUUUAUAAUUAGUUAAUUAAUUUCAUAACAUAUUAUAAAAAUUAUUAAAUUAUGUAAAUUUUAAAUUUAUAAUUAGUUAAUUAAUUUCAUAACAUAUUAUAAAAAUUAUUAAAUUCAUGUAAACUCACGUAACAUGUGCUAAAUUCCCCGCAACCCCUCUUCUCAGUCUAUAUAUUAUGUUGGUGGAUAGGACAUUUUGCCUUUUGUAUAAUUACUUGGAGUUUUAGAAUUGUUAUGUUAUAUGGAAAAGAAAGCUCAGUUUUAUAUAUGCUUUCACUUUAACAAGGUGGUGGAUUCAUGAAAUUAUGGCAAUAGGUGGAUAAGUUUAUGUUAUAUGCAUUAAAUUAAUUAUAUAAAUAUAUAU
rnacentral:lncRNA from 1 species